CAGAAAUGAUGCUAGGUAGCUGAUAGAUCUGUAGUUCAACUUGAUUCCUAGAUAGAAGCUGGAUUCAUCUAAUACCAGAAAAAUGAAAUCUCACGUUACUGAAACUAGAUCUGAGUCUCACUUCUUUCCCAGCCUGGAACUCCUGGGUGCUGUGAGUCCUGGAUAUAUAAUAGAUGGUGACAACAUCUUUCUUUUAUGCAUGAAGGUAGAUGAUUCUUCAAAUUAAAGAUGGAAGCUGACUUCUCACCAGAAAUGGUUUGUAGAAUCAACUUACAAAAAUGUCAGAGGCAGCGAAGGAAAGAGUAAAAUAUUUCUUUCUAUCAGCCUUCGAUUCUUUGCUAGAUUGUAAACUUCAUGAAAGCAGAAUAACUUCCUUAUCCCUAAUGCCUGGCCCAGAAUAGAUACUCAAAAAAUAGUUGAAAUGAAUGGAAAUCUCCCUUG